rnacentral:tmRNA from 1 species
GGGGGCGUAAUGGUAUUGACAGGAUCGAUUGCUUGUAAGUAAGCAUGCCGGAGCACUCCAGAUCACCUCCGUCAAAAAAUGGCUGGAAACCAAUUUAAAUGGCAAUACUCAGUAUGCCAUGGCUGCCUAAUUCUAGGAGUUAGAACGCCAUUAUGCCGUAGGCUUGAUUUCUGCUACACAGCCUGCCGCGUAUCAUCAACCCGCAGAAUAGCUUCAAAGAAGGCCCUGACGGCGAAGCGAAUCCAUAAGGGAUAAGGAACGAGCUGCGGAGGGUUUCCGUCCCAUCCCGUUCCCGACAAUCUAACUGGAAAAUAAGCAUGUAGAAAGCUUACAGGGGCUUUCUCUGGACGCGAGUUCGACUCUCGCCGCCUCCACCC